UACGUAGGGUGCAAGCGUUAAUCGGAAUUACUGGGCGUAAAGCGUGCGCAGGCGGUUUUGUAAGUCAGAUGUGAAAUCCCCGGGCUUAACCUGGGAACUGCGUUUGAAACUACAAGGCUAGAGUGUGGCAGAGGGGGGUGGAAUUCCACGUGUAGCAGUGAAAUGCGUAGAGAUGUGGAGGAACACCGAUGGCGAAGGCAGCCCCCUGGGUUAACACUGACGCUCAGGCACGAAA
rnacentral:rRNA from 1 species